rnacentral:rRNA from 1 species
UACAGAGGGGGCAAGCGUUAUUCGGAAUUACUGGGCGUAAAGGGCGUGUAGGCGGCCCGGUAAGUCCGCUGUGAAAGUCGGGGGCUCAACCCUCGAAAGCCGGUGGAUACUGUCGGGCUCGAGUGCGGAAGAGGCGAGUGGAAUUCCUGGUGUAGCGGUGAAAUGCGCAGAUAUCAGGAAGAACACCUAUGGCGAAGGCAGCUCUCUGGGACGGUACUGACGCUGAGACGCGAAAGCGUGGGGAGCGAACAGG